UAGAUUGUAAACAUUGUUAAUUUAGGAGAAAAAAAGAAAAAAAAAUUAUGUUAAGAAAACCAAUUUUUAGUUAAAAAUAAGGAUAAGUAAAGGUUAUUGAAAUUUUAGGUUUAACGAUAGAGUAAAAGUACUGAAAAGGAAAGGAAGAAAAAGGAGCAUAUUAAUUAUAAGUUUGUAUAGUAAAUUUAAAAAGUUGUACCUUGUGUAUCAGGGAAGAUUUAAGUUUGUUAAGUAUAUUAAUCGUCUCGAAAUAAGAAUAGCUAAUUAUUAUAAUAAAGUUUUUGUGACAUAAAGAUUUUUAAUAUAUAAUUAAAGAUGAAAUAUCAUACGAGUCUUAUUAUAUCUAGUUUUCUGAAAAUAAAUUUAAUUUGGGAUUUAAGAAGAAAGUUUUUUUAAAGUCUAAGAGUAGGAGGGGUUAGCUUCUUAUUCAAUAAGGUUGAAGUAAUAGUUAAGUAAAUUAAAUAAUGGUUUUUCUAGGCUUAAAAAUAGCCAUGAUUAUAAAUUGUUUUUAUUGAGAUGUAAUAAUAAAAUUAUUUGUCUUAACUUUAACGAAUAUCGGAAUAUUAUUUGAAAUUUUGUUAAUUAAGUUAUAAUUAUUUUAUUAGUAUAGUUGAUGUUUUUAUGGAGGAUUAAAAUUUUUUUUAAAAAGGUUUAAAAUAAUAAUGACGGGGUAAAGGAAUUCGGCAAAUAUACACCUUGCCUGUUUAUCAAAAACAUGUCCGUUUGGAGUUAUAAAAGGUCUGACCUGCUCACUGAUAAGUAAUGUUGUUUAAGAGCCGCGGUAUAUUGACCGUGCAAAGGUAGCAUAAUAAUUAGUUUUUUAAUUGGAAACUUGUAUGAAUGGUUGGACAAGGGUGUAUCUGUCUCUGUAGCGUAAAUAGAAGUUAACUUUUAAGUGAAAAGGCUUAAAUGGACCAGGGGGACGAUAAGACCCUAUAAAGCUUUAUAUGUUGAUUAGGUUUGGUUAAAGUUAAAGAGAUUAAAAACUUAAUUUGGUUAUCAUAUUUUAUUGGGGCGAUAUAGGUAUAAUUUAUAUUAACUGCUUGUUUAAAAAACAUCAAGAUGGAUGUAUAAAAGUUAAAUGAUCCUUUAUAAAGAUUAAGAGACUAAGUUACUUUAGGGAUAACAGCGUUAUUUUUUUUGAGAGUUCAUAUCGAAAAAAGAGUUUGCGACCUCGAUGUUGAAUUAAAAUGUCUAUAUAGUGCAGCCGCUAUACAAGAAGGUCUGUUCGACCUUUAAAUUUUUACAUGAUUUGAGUUCAGACCGGCGUGAGCCAGGUCGGUUUCUAUCUCUUGGGGAAAAAUUUAAGAUUACUUUAGUACGAAAGGAUUGAGUAAUUCAAAGUUUUUGUGAAAAAAAAAGAAAUUAAGUGGAAU
rnacentral:rRNA from 1 species